UACAAAAUGGCGGGCAUUUUUUACUAAAAAGAUCGCAAAAAAAAUUGUUUCGAAAUCAAGGAUAUUGUUUGAAAUCUCGCUGAUUUUUGUUGAAUUAUUUUUGUUUUCAGGUUUGCCUAUGGGAAGAGGUAAAUCUGGGAGAGAUUUGCAGUUUCUUUUUCUUUUUUUUCAACAAAAUUGUUUUGAUAUGAGCGGGAAUUGUAAAUAUUUUGCCAUAUUUUGGUUUAUGGGCUUAGCCUGCUUGACUAGUUUAGCUUUAAUAUACCUGUAAGUUUGUGUAAAAUAUCGUGGAUCUUUUGUGGAAAGGAAGAAACUUUGCUUGACAAAGAAUUUGGUUGACAAACGGCAAAAGUUUUCUAUCUUAAGGUACGGUGUGAAUCUUUUGACUAUUAAAAACUUAACAAUAUAAACACAUUCAUGCUAUUUUUUGCUAUUUGUCUGAUAGUCAGGAAUUAAGAGUGCAGGGGGUUACAUUAGCAAUUGUCAUGUGAAUUCAGAAUAUAGUUAAUGACUUAAUCUGUUUUUACAACUUUUUACUGAUAUUUUGCAGUUGUAUACUUGUAUGUACUGUAGUUCACUAAGUUCAGUAGUUCCAUUUAUAAGCAUUCAGCUCAAUCAGCUGUGUCUGUG